CACACUUCUGCCUUUUGACUGUUCAGAGUCCCUAGGGCUGAUGCUCAGUCCAUGCAGACUGUAUGGCUACUCUGGUCGUAAAAAUUUGAAAUACUGACAUUCUGGUGGCAUGUCAAGCCUCUCAUGAGACGCAGAAGAUAAAUUUGGUGCCGUUCUGGAUUUUCCUUUUGGAAAGGGGGCUCCAUCCUUGAACAGAAGAUCAUAGCUCUGCCUGAGCUAGAAGUGUUUUGGGCAGUCAGGAAGACCUUGAAGUUUUAGAGACCAUUUAUAUCAAAGGCAUUAAAGUUAACCAGGCAUCGCAACUGAACUUAAGAUAGGAGUGGAGGUGAAAGUGUUUUAAAAAGAAAACAGGACUCAUCCUGGCUUCCACAGAAAAGGAACAUUCCUUUCUCUUUUGAUGAGAAGAGUCAAUGGAUGCUGGACCAGAGCAGGCACAAACUUGUUCAGGAAGAGGAUAUUUGCAUAGUCUGGAAAUGUUUCCCCCCAUAAUGCUGUUGUUAUAGAGAACAAAUGGUAACUUCACAAUGAUCAAAAUUAACAGCAUCAAUAAUGGGACAGAUUGACAUGCUGUGCCCCCUGAUGUGAUCGAGCAAGAAGAAGACAGUCUUGCUUCUGUGCUGUUCUUGAACAAAGUUGCAUAACCUGAAUCUAAUUGUGAGGAAACAUUAGACAAAUGCACAUCGAGGGAGAUUUUACAAAACGAUUGGCCUGUACUCCUCAAACUGUACCCAGCCGUGGAAGAUGAGGAAAGACUGCAGAACUACUUCAGGCAGAAGAGACCGGACCACUGUAUGUCAUCCUGAACCAUAAAUUUUGUUUUUGUGUUUGUUUUUGGACAAUUGGCAAAUUUUGAAUGGGGCCAUAGAUUAAAUGGCAGUGAUGUAUUAAUGUUAAUUUCCUGGGCUUGGUGAUUGUACUGUCAUUAGGAGAGUGGCCUUGUUUCC